rnacentral:lncRNA from 1 species
UAAAAACUAAAUACAAGGUUAGAUUCAGCAUAUCAUAGAACCCCAAGAAAUCAAUUUUUGAUGAAAUCAAAUAAUGUUCAAUUUCAGACCCUUUAGACCUCAAUGUGGACCAAUUUGAUAACCAGGCCCAAAUAUUAACUAGAGGCUCUUAAGAGCCUGUGUCGCUCAACCUUGGUCUAUGUGCAUAUUAAACAAAGGACACAGAUGGAUUCAUGACAAAAUUGUGUUUUGGUGAUGGUGAUGUGUGAUUGUAGAUCUUACUUUACUGAACAUUCUUGCUUCUUACAAUUAUCUCAAUUUAUAAUGAACUUAGCCCAUUAAUUACAGAGGAAAAUAUUUUGUUAAAAUUUACAAAAUUUACAAAAUUAUUUAAAAUUUACUAUAAAGGGCAAUAACUCUUUAAGUGGUCAAUUGACCUUUGGUCAUGUUGACUUAUUUGUGGGUCUUACUUUGCUGAACAUUAAUGCUGUUUACAGUUUAUCUCUAUCUAUAAUAAUAUUCAAGAUAAUAACCAAAAACAGCAAAAUUUCCUUAAAAAUUUCCAAUUCAGGGGCAGCAACCCAACAACAGGUUGUCCGAUUCGUCUGAAAAUAUCAGGGCAGACAGAUCUUUACCUAAUAAACAAUUUUACCCCAUGUCAGAUUUGCCCUUUGGGCCAGGUGAGCUAAAAAUCUAAAUACAUGGUUAAAUUCAGCAUAUUGAAGAACCCCAUAAAUUCAAUUUUUGUUGAAAUCAAACAAUGUUUUAUUUUGGACCCCAAUUUGGACCAACUUGAAAACUGGGCCCAUAAUCAAAAAUCUAAGUACAUGUUUAGAUUCAGCAUAUCAAAGAACCCCAAGAAUCCUUUUUUGUUAAAAUCAAACUAAGUUUAAUUUUGGACCCUUUUGGCCCCUUAUUCCUAAACUGUUCGGACCAAAACUCCCAAAAUCAAUCCCAACCUUCCUUUUGUGGUCAUAAACCUUGUGUUAAAAUUUCAUAGAUUUCUAUUUACUUAUACUAAAGUUAUUGUGCAAAAACCAAGAAAAAUGCUUAUUUGGGACUUUUUUUUGGCCGGUAAUUCCUAAACUAUUGGGACCAAAACUCACAAAAUCAAUCCAAACCUUCCUUUCAUGGUCAUAAACCUUAUGUUAAAAUUUCAUAGAGUUCUGUUUACUUAUAUUAAAGAAUUGUGCAAAAACCAAGAAAAAUGCUUAUUUGGGCCCUUUUUGGCCCCUAAUUCCUAAACUGUUGGGACCAAAACUCCCAAAAUCAAUCCCAACCUUCCUUUUAUGGUCAUAAACCUUGCAUUUAAAUUUCAUAGAAAACCAAAUGUAUUCAGACGACAACAACUACGCCAACGUCAUACCAAUAUACGACCAAAAAUUUUUCAAUUUUUGCGGUUGUAUAAAAAUGGCAAAAUUUCCUUAAAAUUACCAAUUCAGGGGUUCAAUUCAACCGGUUGUCCGAUUCAUCUGACAAUUUCAAGGCAGAUGGAUCUUGACUUGUUAAACAGUUUUAUCCCAUGUCAGAUUUGCUCUAAAUGCUUUGGUUUCAGAGUUUGGUUAAAUUUGACCCAGUAGUUUCAGAAGAGAAGAAUUUUGUAAAAGUUAACAGACGACGCCGGACGAGGACGACGGACUCAAAGUGAUGAGAAGAGCUGACUUGGCCCAUCGAGCCAGGUGAGCUAAUAAAAAGGAAAACAAUCAGAAUUAAAAUAUAACUUUAUAUACAUAGACAAUAACUGUUUAGUGUCUUUAAAUAUCAGCUGUAUUUGUACGAGGCUAGGAAACAAGGUGUAUGCAAGCUUUUAGCGAGCUACUACACCUGUUUCGAGCCGAGUACAAAUACAGCUGAUAUUUAAAGACACUAAACAGUUAUUGUCUUUAUCCUGCAAUUAAUUCUGUAUAUUGUUUCUGUUUUGAAAGACACAAAAACUAACAUUUAUUUUCGAUUUGUAAUCCCUUGAGGCCCGCGUAGUAAUAUCAAAAUUACACAUUACGCUGAAGAGGGGUUCGCAAAAAAGAAUCUUGAAUGGUCAACAAUAACACAUUGCUCAAGGUGAAUAAUUAUCUAUUUUAACACAACAACUAAUUUCAACAGUAAAAACAAAUAACAAAACAUUGUCAAAUUUGAAACAAAAGUGUACGAGUUGUCCUAAGCUUCAGACUAGACAUUCACUAAACAUGCAUGCUGAAAUUGACAUGGUUGAUUUUGUAACACAAUCAUACACAUUCAAGUUUUGAAAUCGACAAUUGUCAUCGUCAUUGGAAUGCAACUGGAAUACACAUUCUGAGGUCACACAGGUUCAAACAAUACUCAGUCUGACAGUGGGCGGAGCUUUAAAGCCAUAUCUGUAUAGUAUACAGAUACAGCAUAGCGAUAUCUGUAGGGCUGUAUCUGUAUAGUAGGACACCCAAUUGCAGGAUCAAACGUAAUCUCUUACAUCUAAAUGUUUAUUUUAUAAAGGGAAAUAUAGAGUUUCAUCAUCUUAUCAUCAUAACUUAGGCAUUCAACUUUUUGGUAACUAAUUUAUCUUUUUUUUAUUAACUUGCAUCACAGCCAAAAUAAUCCAAAAUAUUACCACAGCCAAAAUAUCCCAAUUUACAGUACUGUUAAUUCAGAAAUUAUUGCAAGAUUAUUAUUAUUGCGAAAAAUGUGACAGAGUUGUAAUCACAAUAACUUAAACUCGCAUUUUGAAAUAUUCUAUAUAAAUUAAACAGGAUUUUUCUCAAAAUCGUAAAAAUUAAAAUUGCAUUUAGUUCAAAAUGACAAAAUCGCAAUA